UCCCGGCCCAAACGGCUGGACAUGAAGCCCGUAUGGCCCAAACAAAUUAGCCCAAGUCAGCAUCGCACACCAAAAAAAAAAAAAAAAGUCCCACCGCCGGCGGCGGCGGCGGCGGACGAGCCCGGCAGCGGCAGGGCAGGCCACAGGCGAUAUGGUCGGCGAGGCUCACAUCCCGUGACUACAUGGAGGCCGUGGGCUAUGCUCUUGAGUGUCAUUGGUUGCGGAUUAGCGGACCGCUCGUGAUCACGAGCUGGUCAGUCGGAGGAUUCAUCUUGCUGGGGUUGGAGCCACUGAAUCAAGCCUUGCUUUUUGCCGGGUCGGCCGAAGGAACGGCGACCAAAUUUCAUUAAGGAAUUGGGGGAAGAACAAAAAAAAAUUACAGAUAGAUUAGGCUUACAAUCGAAGGAAUCAAGCCUUGCUGAAAUGAGAACCAAUUGAGGUUACUACCCAUUUCUUAUCUAUGAACCAGCACAGCACACAUUAUUUAUUGACUUGAUCAUAACUGGUUUAGCCAAAAUAUCUGGGCAUUAUUAGCUGAUCAUAUAGCACACCUACUCCAAAGAAUACACCAAAUGCAAUUGCAAAGACAACCUGGUCGAUAUACUGCUUUCUUGAGGUAGGGGAAGUUGGAGCUGCUUCUGCCAAAUUGCAAUGGUGUACAAGCAUAGGGCUACAUAGCUUUGGGUUCCCAGCAAAACUAGAACUUGGAAAUGUGCUGAACUGGCCUCCAAUUGGUACAGGCCCUUCAAGGUCAUUGUAGGAAAUGUUGAAUUCAGAAAGGAAGUGAAGGCUCACCAGUGCUGAUGGGAUUGCACCUGUAAGAUGGUUGUAUGACAGGUCUAGAACCAUCAGAUUUCUGAGGUUGGUCACCAAUUGUGGGAUUUCCCCGUUUAGGUUGUUGAAGCUCAAGUUGAGUGAAACGAGUGCUUUUAACUCACCAAUCUCCAUGGGGAUGGCACCAGUUAAUUUGUUGUUACCUAGAUUCAACAUUUUAGGGAAAGCGGUAAUUGUACGGUACUGAAAACACAUACAACCUACAUAAACUGGAAACUGAAAGAGUCUUGGGUCUGUGUAAUCUGCAA